CACAGUACGGAACUGAGUCAACGCAUUUUUCAGAUUCAAGAAGGGUAGGGCGCAGGGCGGCUGGCCCCCGCAAGAAGAGAUACAAGUUAGCUACUUCCCUAGCUGAACCGAUCAGCUAUCGCAAUCAAUUGAUGUCUUCAGAUGAGAUUUAAGGAUUUACUGUGCAUUUAGUUGGUUUGACGCUAAUUCGCCGUUGGUCGUCCACACAUUACAACCCGACAAAAUGUCAGAUCCUUCGGUGGCCGACACUCGCCGGUUGAAUUCCAAGCCGCAGGACCUGACGGAUGCUUACGGCCCCCCCAGCAAUUUUCUGGAAAUAGACGUUUACGAUCCACAAAUCGUUGGAGUUGGACGGAACCGUUACACAACUUACGAAGUUCGCAUGCGGACAAACCUUCCCAUUUUCAAACUGAAGGAUUCCUGUGUGAGAAGAAGAUACAGUGACUUUGAGUGGUUAAAGAAUGAGCUGGAAAGAGACAGUAAGAUUGUAGUACCAUCUCUGCCGGGCAAAGCCCUGAAGAGACAGUUGCCAUUCCGCGGAGAUGAGGGCCUUUUUGAGGAGUCCUUCAUUGAGGAGCGGCGAUCAGGACUGGAGCAGUUCAUCAACAAGUCAAAUUGCAGGUCAUCCCUUGGCCCAGAAUGAGCGCUGUCUUCACAUGUUUCUGCAAGAGGAAAGCAUUGACCGUAACUACAUUCCUGGAAAAGUAUGAAUGAAGCAAAGACAAUACAGACUGCUGCACCUGCCCCAUGUACAUUUAUUUCUACAUCACGUCAAUACAAAGCCGGUGGAAAUAUCAGAACUGAUAAGGAUCAACGGUGUAGGAAAAACACAAAUAUUGCUCCUGGACAAAACUUAAAGAGAUCCAAUCUAUAAAUUGUUUGAUGUCGUGUCUUUAUUCAGUCAUUCCACAUACUUUAUGUACAUUAUUUGGAUUCAGUAAUCAGUGGAAAAGAAAAAAUGUUCCAUAUGUAAUUUUGUCAUAGAUAGAUUUUGACUUUUUUUUUACAAUGAGUAUUAUGUUUUCUGAAUGUCUUUUUAAUUGAUUUGAUCAAGUUUAAAAUCAGGGUAAUUUCCCGCUUUGAUUAAGGUUUUGUUUUGCUAGCGGAGACGUGAUUCUGAUGAUAACCUCCCAAAGUCGAGCAACAUGUAGCAUCAUGAAAAAGACAGUGACAUGGUCAUUCCAGUCAAUAUAUUUCCCCUGAGUUUUAAGUUCUGGACAUGCUUUCUUGAUUAGUUGUUUUAACUCUGCUGUCUUAGUUACAUUAUCAUACCUACACAUUGGCUGUGUGUUGUCAAAUCAGAUAUUGGGAAUGUUCAGUUAGGUAAAUAACCAUAUCUAAGCACUGUGACAAGCGGUUCAUUUUAUGAACAAUAUUUCAUUGUUUAAAGGCGUAAUCAGCAUCUGGUUUAUGGAGCUGAAAUAAGGCUUAUUCUGCACUUAUUUUCAGCUGAUUAAUUCUUUCUGUCAAUAUUAUUGUGAAGUGUAUUAAUACAUGUUAUCAUUGCAGUUCCACUAGGGGUGACGAGGGAACUUCUUAAUUCUGUCCACCAAUUAAAUUUCCUGCUGCCUGCUGUG